rnacentral:rRNA from 1 species
GAUGAACGCUGGCGGCGUGCCUAAUACAUGCAAGUCGAGCGAACAGACGAGGAGCUUGCUCCUCUGACGUUAGCGGCGGACGGGUGAGUAACACGUGGAUAACCUACCUAUAAGACUGGGAUAACUUCGGGAAACCGGAGCUAAUACCGGAGAAUAUAUUGAACCGCAUGGUUCAAUAGUGAAAUACGGUUUUGCUGUCACUUAUAGAUGGAUCCGCGCCGGAUUGGCUAGUUGGUAAGGUAACGGCUUUCCAAGGCGACGAUGCGUAGCCGACCUGAGGGGGUGAUCGGCCACACGGGAGCGUAGACACGGUCCAGACUCCUACGGGAGGCACCAGUAGGGAAUGUUCGGCAAUGGGCGGAAGCCUGACGGAGCAACGCCAAGUGAGUGAUGAAGGUGUUCGGAUCGUAAAACUCUGUUAUUAGGGAAGAACAACUGUGUAAGUAGAUGUGGACGUCUUGACGGUACCUAAUCAGAAAGCCACGGCUAACUACGUG